rnacentral:rRNA from 1 species
ACACAUGCAAGUCGAACGGCAGCACGGACUUCGGUCUGGUGGCGAGUGGCGAACGGGUGAGUAAUGUAUCGGAACGUGCCCAGUAGCGGGGGAUAACUACGCGAAAGCGUAGCUAAUACCGCAUACGCCCUACGGGGGAAAGCGGGGGAUCGUAAGACCUCGCACUAUUGGAGCGGCCGAUAUCGGAUUAGCUAGUUGGUGGGGUAAUGGCCCACCAAGGCGACGAUCCGUAGCUGGUUUGAGAGGACGACCAGCCACACUGGGACUGAGACACGGCCCAGACUCCUACGGGAGGCAGCAGUGGGGAAUUUUGGACAAUGGGCGCAAGCCUGAUCCAGCCAUGCCGCGUGCAGGAUGAAGGCCUUCGGGUUGUAAACUGCUUUUGUACGGAACGAAAAGGCUUUCUCUAAUAAAGAGGGCUCAUCACGGUACCGUAAGAAUAAGCACCGGCUAACUACGUGCCAGCAGCCGCGGUAAUACGUAUGGUGCGAGCGUUAAUCGGAAUUACUGGGCGUAAAGCGUGCGCANGCGGUUUUGUAAGACAGGCGUGAAAUCCCCGAGCUCAACUUGGGAAUGGCGCUUGUGACUGCAAGGCUAGAGUAUGUCAUAGGGGGGUAGAAUUCCACGUGUAGCAGUGAAAUGCGUAGAGAUGUGGAGGAAUACCGAUGGCGAAAGCAGCCCCCUGGGACGUCACUGACGCUCAUGCACGAAAGCGUGGGGAGCAAACAGGAUUAGAUACCACUGGUAGUCCACGCCCUAAACGAUGUCAACUAGUUGUUGGGGAUUCAUUUCUUCAGUAACGUAGCUAACGCGCGAAGUUGACGCCUGGGGGAGU